rnacentral:rRNA from 1 species
AUGGCUCAGGAUGAACGCUAGCGGCAGGCUUAACACAUGCAAGUCGAGGGGCAGCGCGGUUGUAGCAAUACUUCUGGCGGCGACCGGCGAAAGGGUGCGUAACGCGUGAGCGACAUGCCCGUCACCGGGGUAUAACCGAUGGAAACGUCGACUAAUCCCCCAUAACAUCAGAGGAGGCAUCUCCUUUGGUUGAAAUUCACGGAGGUGACGGAUUGGCUCGCGUCUGAUUAGCUAGUCGGCGGGGUAACGGCCCACCGAGGCUACGAUCAGUAGGGGUUCUGAGAGGAAGGUCCCCCACAAUGGAACUGAGACACGGUCCAUACUCCUACGGGAGGCAGCAGUGAGGAAUAUUGGUCAAUGGGCGGAAGCCUGAACCAGCCAUGCCGCGUGCAGGACGACGGCCCUAUUGGGGUUGUAAACUGCUUUUGCUGCGGAGCAAUAAGGGCCUCGUGCAGGUCCGAUGAGAGUACGCAGCGAAUAAGCAUCGGCUAACUCCGUGCCAGCCGCAGC